AUUGAACGCUGGCGGCAUGCCUUACACAUGCAAGUCGAACGGUAACAGGCUAAGCUGACGAGUGGCGAACGGGUGAGUAAUGUAUCGGAACGUGCCCAGUCGUGGGGGAUAACUGCUCGAAAGAGCAGCUAAUACCGCAUACGACCUGAGGGUGAAAGCGGGGGAUCGCAAGACCUCGCGCGAUUGGAGCGGCCGAUAUCAGAUUAGGUAGUUGGUGAGGUAAAGGCUCACCAAGCCGACGAUCUGUAGCUGGUCUGAGAGGACGACCAGCCACACUGGGACUGAGACACGGCCCAGACUCCUACGGGAGGCAGCAGUGGGGAAUUUUGGACAAUGGGCGCAAGCCUGAUCCAGCCAUGCCGCGUGCGGGAAGAAGGCCUUCGGGUUGUAAACCGCUUUUGUCAGGGAAGAAAAGGUUCUGGCUAAUACCUGGGACUCAUGACGGUACCUGAAGAAUAAGCACCGGCUAACUACGUG
rnacentral:rRNA from 1 species